UACAGAGGAUGCAAGUGUUAUCCGGAAUUACUGGGCGUAAAGAGCUCGUAGGUGGUUUGUCGCGUUGUUCGUGAAAACUCACAGCUCAACUGUGGGCGUGCGGGCGAUACGGGCAGACUAGAGUACUGCAGGGGAGACUGGAAUUCCUAGUGUAGCGGUGGAAUGCGCAGAUAUCAGGAGGAACACCGGUGGCGAAGGCGGGUCUCUGGGCAGUAACUGACGCUGGAGGAGCGAAAGCGUGGGGAGCGAACAGG
rnacentral:rRNA from 1 species